rnacentral:lncRNA from 1 species
CUGGAGCCCUGCUGGGGCCCUGUUGGGAUCCACUGGGACCCUGGUGGGACCAGCUGGGACCCUGCUGGGACCAACGGGGACCCCCUGGAACCCUGCUGGGGCCCUGUUGGGAUCCACUGGGACCCUGGUGGGACCAGCUGGGACCCUGCUGGGACCAACGGGGACCCCCUGGAACCCUGCUGGGGCCCUGUUGGGAUCCACUGGGACCCUGGUGGGACCAGCUGGGACCCUGCUGGGCCCCACGGGGACCCCCUGGAACCCUGCUGGGGCCAACUGGGAUCCACUGGGACCCCGGUGGGACCAGCUGGGACCCUGCUGGGCCCCACGGGGACCCCCUGGAACCCUGCUGGGGCCAACUGGGAUCCACUGGGACCCCGGUGGGACCAGCUGGGACCCUGCUGGGCCCCACGGGGACCCCCUGGAACCCUGCUGGGGCCAACUGGGAUCCACUGGGACCCCGGUGGGACCAGCUGGGACCCUGCUGGGCCCCACGGGGACCCCCUGGAACCCUGCUGGGGCCAACUGGGAUCCACUGGGACCCCGGUGGGACCAGCUGGGACCCUGCUGGGCCCCACGGGGACCCCCUGGAACCCUGCUGGGGCCCUGUUGGGAUCCACUGGGACCCUGGUGGGACCAGCUGGGACCCUGCUGGGACCAACGGGGACCCCCUGGAACCCUGCUGGGGCCAACUGGGAUCCACUGGGACCCCGGUGGGACCAGCUGGGACCCUGCUGGGACCAACUGGGGUCAACUGGAACCCUGCUGGGGCCAACUGGGAUCCACUGGGACCCUGCUGGGACCAGCUGAGACCCGCUGGGUCCCUGCUGGGACCAACUGGGAGCCAACUGGGAUCAAGCAGGACCAUGCUGGCAUCAACUGGGGGCCAACUGGGAUCAACCAGGACCAUGCUGGGAUCAACUGGGGGCCAACUGGGAUGAACUGGGACCAUGUUGGGAUCGACUGGGAUCAAUAGGAACUGUACUGGAGCCAACCGGGACACUGCUGGAUUCAACUGGGAUCAACCGGGACCAUGUUGGGAUCGACUGGGACCAACUGGGAGCCGCCCCCACCCAAACUGGCCUGGAACUGGGCCGGCGACCCCUCC